UCCCUAGAUGUUCUGGGCCGCACGCGCGCUACACUGAACAGUUCAACAAGUCUUAACCUUGGCCGAUAGGUCUGGGUAAUCUUUGAACGCUGUUCGUGAUUGGGAUAGACCUUUGCAAUUAUUAAUCUUCAACGAGGAAUGCCUAGUAAGCGCAAGUCAUCAGCUUGCGUUGAUUACGUCCCUGCCCUUUGUACACACCGCCCGUCGCUCCUACCGAUUGAAUGGUCCGGUGAAGCGUUCGGACCGUGGCCUUUGGACGGUUCGCCGUCUGUUGGCUGCGGGAAGUUCGUUAAACCUUAUCAUUUAGAGGAAGGAGAAGUCGUAACA
rnacentral:rRNA from 1 species